GCUGUUAAGGGUUCGUAGUUGAACUGUGGAGCGUGACUCCAGGAUUCCACCCUUUCCCCCGGUCUAGGGAACUCCUGAUCACUCUCCGAGAACGUCAGAAACUAAGAUCACGGGAGCGUUUUUUCAAAUGGCCACCAUUUACGCGAGCAAUGCCCGCUGGUGGACGUCCGUGUUCAUUCUGUGACUAAAGAAGUGCGACCAAAGCAGUCCAUCGACAUGAAUUAGAAAGCAUGGGAUUCAAAGCAGCAGCCUAUGAGCUACCGUUCAGGCUUUUGUUGGUUUUAAAGGUUCGUGGGGAUUACGGGCGAGUAGGACCGGCGUUGUGGGGACUUCGGUUCCCCUCGUCUCCCCCUUGUGCUGGAACGGUGCAUGUGGGGCCUACGCGACCCAGGAAUGAAGGAGGGUUGCUCGGGGGAAACGUACUUGGGCGUGAGAGGUGAAAUUCUUAGACCGCCCAAAGACGAACUACAGCGAGGCAUUUUCCAAGGAUACCUUCCUCAAUCAAGAACCAAAGUGUGGAGAUCGAAGAUGUUAGAUACCAUUGUAGUCC
rnacentral:rRNA from 1 species